GACGAACCGUGCGAACGUUGUUCGGAAUCACUGGGCUUAAAGGGCGCGUAGGCGGCUUGGCAAGUCCGGGGUGAAAGCCCCCAGCUCAACUGGGGAAGUGCCUUGGAUACUGCCAGGCUCGAGCGAGAUAGGGGUCGUGGGAACUUCCGGUGGAGCGGUGAAAUGCGUUGAUAUCGGAAGGAACGCCGGUGGCGAAAGCGCACGACUGGAUCUCUUCUGACGCUGAGGCGCGAAAGCGUGGGGAGCGAACAGG
rnacentral:rRNA from 1 species